GAUGAAGAACGUAGCGAAAUGCGAUAAGUAAUGCGAAUUGCAGAAUUUCCGUGAGUCAUCGAGUCUUUGAACGCACAUUGCGCCCCCUGGUAUUCCGGGGGGCAUGCCUGUCCGAGCGUCAUUGCUGCCCUCAAGCACGGCUUGUGUGUUGGGCCUCCGUCCUCCUCCCGGGGACGGGCCCGAAAGGCAGCGGCGGCACCGCGUCCGGUCCUCGAGCGUAUGGGGCUUCGUCACCCGCUCUUGUAGGCCCGGCCGGCGCUUGCCGACACAUCAAUCUUUUUUCCAGGUUGACCUCGGAUCAGGUAGGGAUACCCGCUGAACUUAAGCAUAUCAAUAAGCGGAGGA
rnacentral:misc_RNA from 1 species